UACGUAGGUGGCAAGCGUUGUCCGGAUUUAUUGGGCGUAAAGAGCUCGUAGGCGGCUUGUCGCGUCGACCGUGAAAACUUGGGGCUCAACCCCAAGCCUGCGGUCGAUACGGGCAGGCUAGAGUUCGGUAGGGGAGACUGGAAUUCCUGGUGUAGCGGUGAAUGACGUAGAUAUCGGAAGGAACAUCAGUGGCGAAGGCAGAUCUCUGGGCCGUAACUGACGCUGAGGAGCGAAAGCAUGGGGAGCGAACAGG
rnacentral:rRNA from 1 species